GACAGAGGGUGCAAGCGUUGCUCGGAAUCACUGGGCGUAAAGGGCGUGUAGGCGGGCAUGUAAGUCGGGCGUGAAAUCCCUAGGCUCAACCUAGGAACUGCACUCGAAACUGCGUUUCUUGAGUAUCGGAGAGGAAAGCGGAAUACCUGGUGUAGAGGUGAAAUUCGUAGAUAUCAGGUGGAACACCAGUGGCGAAGGCGGCUUGCUGGACGAUAACUGACGCUGAGACGCGAAAGCGUGGGGAGCAAACAGG
rnacentral:rRNA from 1 species